UCUGGCACGCGACUCUUCCGGCCCGUCUCUGGUGAUCCAUUACACGGCGGUGCCAACUCGAACCUUUUCUAAGUCAGCUCUGGCAGCUUGUCGAGCAGAGUGCAGUAAAACCCGGCGCUCCAUGGCUAGUUCUCCUAAUCGUGUGGAAACUCUGACUACUUACAGAAGCAAUGAGGGAGGCAACAUCUGCAACGGCUCGCCAUGUGAACGAGCGGGCGGGGUGGGAAAGAAGUGGAGGAGAACGACUACAAGCUGGCGAGCCGCUUCUGACGUGGCUCGCGGAUAAACAAAAGCCUGCCAAUCCUCCGUGUUCACAGUGCCUCCUCUUGUCAAAAUUCUUUCACAUCCAGGUGGUUUUGGUCUCAGACAAUGCUGGGUUUUUUUUUUUUUUUUUUUGUCUCUUUUUUUCUUCCAAGCAAAGUCCGUGGCCAAGCAGCUGCUGCUAAUCUCUGUUAGCAGAGUCCCACUAAACAGUCGGCUGUAGCCUUUAAUCUGGUCCCCCCACAAUCAUUACCUCCAGAGCCGGGGACUGGGCUGGGGCGGGGGGGGCGGAAUGGGUAACACAAUUGCAGGAGAGUAAACAAAUGAAACCCAAUUUGUGUCCAUUUCUCUGUCGUUCCUCUGGCUUUUCCUGUAAUCUCGUUUGAAUGUUCGGUAAGGCGCCAAAGUCGCUAUCGUUUCAUCGGGCUGCUGCGUGUGUGUCCCGCAGCCCCGAUCUGCAGGUGUCUGUUUAAAGUGUACAGGGUAGAUAUCAUUUCUCACAGCCCAGUUGUGUUCAGGCUUGUAGCUUAUGAUAAUUGUGCUUUUGUGAGUGAAAUUGUAUAAAUAUGAUGAAUAAAAGCGUACCGCAUUAGGCAUCAAAGAUAAGCCUAAUAUUUAGUCUCCUUUACAGAUUAUUUGAGACAAGUUGGGUCUUUUGGCUUCUUCCAGUUAGAAGAAACAUGUUGGUCAAAUGAAAAUAUUACUUCAAACCUAAAUUUGCCAGUGGUAUAAAAUUGGGCGUAGCUGCAUCAUUUAAAACCCCAAUUUCUGGAACUAUUCAGAUGCUGCAGUUUUUAUUCGGGUCCUGACUCAUGUUGUUCAUAUUAUGCAUACAAUCACAAGAAUAAACGACUUUACAAUAGCAAUCAAACCGAUGGUUGUGCAUGUCUCACUGUUCCCCAUAUGAGGAGGCCAUGUUUUACUUAUGAGACUUUAAUAUCCCUACAGCAAUGUUGUUAAAAAGAUCAGGUAACGCUCCGGAUUUACAAAUUAAAUAUCAUGACCAAAAUAAACCAAACUGAACUGAACCCCACUCAAACUCUAUUUCACGAAGCUGCUCAAAAACACUUAAAAAUUAACUUCAUUCGGCUCAGACACUGAGGAAAUACACUAUUACUAAUUACUGUGGCUAAGCAUUCAGGAGGACUGUUAGGAGAGAGGUUAUGAGGCUGUGACAGAGGAUGGAAACGUAAGCAACUGUUCAAUAGUAAGCAUUUUCUUAAUAUAUUUCAUGCUCAUAAACAACAAUCCAUGCACUUCGAUUACCUCCACAAAACCCUCCUGUGUUUAUUUUUUCACAUUCUUUUCUUUGGCUCCAAUCAGUAGCCAUGCAUUUAUUUCACCGAUUACUGCCAAAUAGGAAAACAGAAAACAAGCAUUUUGUAGAUUUUACACAGUGACGUUAUACACGCCAUGUCAUAAUCCACUUUAGGUAGUGUCUUCUUAAUUUAAUUAAAAGUUUAAAUUAUUUAUCAAGUUCAACAGCCAUUGAAAAUACUGAUUUAUUUACGAACAUUUCAUGUGAAAUUUUUUUAAGUAUUCUGACUGAAAUACAGUGAUGUAGGCCUUUUCCAUGCAACCUUUUUAGCUCCGAAGUUGCUGGGGAAAGAAAACUUGAAGUUUAGACUUCAAAUCUUUUACUUUGCUUCACCUCCUGGAAAUAUAAGAAGGAAGCUGGGCAGGAAGGUAAAAAAAAUUCCACAUGCUGCUUCUAUGGUACAUUUUCCCCUCAAUAAAACACUCUCUACAUCCCCUGUGGUCCAAUAAUGGGUUUACAUAGACUCCGGUUUGCUUCACCAUCUUCCCGGUAUGCCCAUACAGAACUCUGCUGCCCACCUUAGCUGACAAGCGCUGACAAAAAAUUCUGGCUGUGAAACAUUGCCUCACAUGUCAAGAGUCAGGCAAGCUAUUUUUCCGUACCCCUAUUCGCUUGGUCUCCAGCUCUUACAUGAAAGUCUGUGAUUUGACUCCUUUCGCUGUGACCACAUGAGGGAACAGGUGCCUGUGAAAUUAAAGUCAGGGGGGUUUCAGAAAUGCAGAGAAGCCCGAUGCACUGCAGACUGCAGAUUACCUCUAUAGGGCAUGAAGGCCAGCAGAGAACCGAGGUAGCCCCCUAUGAGGAGCCCACAGGGAAUACCUUACCAACAGCUCCCCAAUGACAUCUUGGACAUUUUGUUCUUCUCUCUGCAGGGGGAAAAAAAACUGCACUUGUUUAGCGAUCACAGGGGUUUAUUUUUGAUGCUUGCUGUGUUAUCAGAAGAUGCAGUGCA